rnacentral:misc_RNA from 1 species
UUGAGGUUGGAUAAACAUUCU